UAUAUUCUGAGAAUCUUGCUAAAUUAAAAUGAUAUUACACAAUUUAUCUUAUCUUGAUUAUUUAGUUUAUGUAUUGCUGUUAAAUUUAUUAUUUAUUAUGAAUUAAAAAUAAGUUUUAUUUGUUUAGGGCAAAGAAUUCAAGUCAAAAUGUAGUAAUAUUAAGGUUUUAGUGAGUUGCGUUUUUCUAGAGAGUAAAGAGUUUUAUGAAAUUAUUUUUUGGGAUUAGGGAGGUAAAAAGAGAGUAG
rnacentral:rRNA from 1 species